GAACAAUCAAGCAUCAAACUUCCCUUUGCUUGGACAGGAAGUUUCAUUAUCAACUAAUCCUCAUGCAGUGGAAUCUUCUAUAGUAAAUGAGAAUGAUCAGAGUUUUCCUGAGUGUAGCAUUGGAUCUGAAUGGAAUGCAAAAGCAUUGGUUGUAGCAGGAG